rnacentral:rRNA from 1 species
UACGUAGGGUGCAAGCGUUGUCCGGAAUUAUUGGGCGUAAAGAGCUCGUAGGCGGCUUGUCGCGUCGGCUGUGAAAACCUGGGGCUCAACCCCGGGCCUGCAGCCGAUACGGGCAAGCUAGAGUUCGGUAGGGGAGACUGGAAUUCCUGGGGUAGCGGUGAAAUGCGCAGAUAUCGGGAGGAACACCAGUAGCGAAGGCGACACUCUGGGCCGGUACUGACGCUGAGGAGCGAAAGCGUGGGGAGCAAACAGG